GACGUAGGGCGCGAGCGUUGUCCGGAUUAUUGGGCGUAAAGAGCUCGUAGGCGGUCUGUCGCGUCGGUCGUGAAAACUUGGGGCUUAACCCUGAGCUUGCGGUCGAUACGGGCAUGACUGGAGUUCGGUAGGGGAGACUGGAAUUCCUGGUGUAGCGGUGAAAUGCGCAGAUAUCAGGAGGAACACCGGUGGCGAAGGCGGGUCUCUGGGCCGAUACUGACGCUGAGGAGCGAAAGCGUGGGGAGCGAAACAGG
rnacentral:rRNA from 1 species